UGCAGCGUGCACAGAUUCUGGGCACCAGCCCACCAACCCAACUUGCUGUAAAUAAACAAGAAAAGGUUCGCGUUUUAUUUGACCAAGACCUCGUUUGCCAAGUGAUUAAAAGUUCCCAACAUCCAAAAAGAAAUAUAAUUCUCUACUUGCUGAGCUAUAAACACUAAACCGCAGCGAAAGUUACCGAAUAAAUAAUAGGUUACGCAGUGUCUGUCAGAGGGCAUGUAAAUCUGGGCUAAAAUCUGAUGGCCUGGCUUGUGUCAGAGCAAAGGAGACAGAGGAUACUCUGUAGUUGUGCUAGAAGCCAGAACUGCUGCAGUAGCAUCAGAACUAGAAAGGGGGGUGAUCGAUGAGGAUGAUGGUGAAAUCAGGGGAGAGUACCGCCUUUAAUAAUACCUUCCGACCGUCGGAGAUGGAACAGGAGAAAGAGACAUUGGAAUGGUGUGGGGCACGUGGCAAGUAGUUGAGUCAGUGGGGCGUCUUAAGCUCUUUUGUUGGUCCCACCACACAAGAGUAUCUGAGAGCAAAGAUUUGAAAUCUUGUGGAAAAAGUUGUGCUACUGUGACGAUUUUCCAGCUCGCCCGUGAAACUGGCGCGUUUCCUGCUGCCUGCUCUUCUUCACGGUUUACACAUGAACUUACAGUAGUAAUUUUCUUUAACAUAAUAAUAUCAAAAUGUGAAGAAAGAAAGAAAGCCACUGUCAAAUAAAUAUUCCAACCUUUGUCCUGCAA